rnacentral:rRNA from 1 species
GCGACGACCUAAGACAAAAGGCAAGGGUCAAUUAACUUUGCCUAGGCAACUACCCCUACGACGCUAGAUUAACGAUCGAACCUACAAACGACGACUCGUUACAACGAGAAAGGUCAAGACACGCAGCUAACCUCCCCCUAACUUAGGAAUACUACGUAGGACAACGUCGUAAUCCAAAAGACGUCGCAACCUCGAAGUUUUCGACUUAAACAUUUAUUCGUAGAAAACCCCCCCUCCCUCUCUUUUUACUUAGGAGGCGACAACGCUCCUAAACGCAUGAUGAGGUACCUCGCCUCACAAGAUAGCCACCCUCCUAGGACUCGCUCCUCGCCACCCCCUCUAGGAAGGUCGACCAAAUCUUAGCGAAUCGCGAAACGUCGCACAAUCCGCGUCGUAUAGAACGUUACAUUUGAACCCUCGCACAGCAGCAAUUAUCAGACGCUCGUGAGAGACGCACGGUCACCACUCCGCACCACGGACACUACUGCGGAGAGUCCUACAUUUAUUACGGGUAAAACGGCUUACAGCGUCCUUCAACUAGGAGGUGAGCUUAAAGGGCGCACCCUUCCACUCCGUUCCAUUAUGCCGGUACUGUUGGAGGCAGGGGCACAGAAAAUCAGGGUGGCAUGUGGAUUUUUCGAUCAGGAGCCGGUUCAUGUCCAUUCACAGUGCGAGACAAAGUCUCGCCAGUUUCUCUAGCGGUUCCAAUC